rnacentral:rRNA from 1 species
GACGAACGCUGGCGGCGUGCUUAACACAUGCAAGUCGAACGGAAAGGCCCUGCUUUUGUGGGGUGCUCGAGUGGCGAACGGGUGAGUAACACGUGAGUAACCUGCCCUUGACUUUGGGAUAACUUCAGGAAACUGGGGCUAAUACCGGAUAGGAGCUCCUGCUGCAUGGUGGGGGUUGGAAAGUUUCGGCGGUUGGGGAUGGACUCGCGGCUUAUCAGCUUGUUGGUGGGGUAGUGGCUUACCAAGGCUUUGACGGGUAGCCGGCCUGAGAGGGUGACCGGCCACAUUGGGGCUGAGAUACGGGCCAGACUCCUACGGGAGGCAGCAGUGGGGAAUAUUGCACAAUGGGCGGAAGCCUGAUGCAGCAACGCCGCGGGCGGGAUGACGGCCUUCGGGGUGGAAACCGCUUUCGCCUGUGACGAAGCGGGAGUGACGGGAAUGGGUAAAGAAGCACCGGCUAACUACGGG